rnacentral:rRNA from 1 species
GAUGAACGCUGGCGGCGUGCCUAAUACAUGCAAGUCGAGCGAACAGACGAGGAGCUUGCUCCUCUGACGUUAGCGGCGGACGGGUGAGUAACACGUGUAUAACCUACCUAUAAGACUGGGAUAACUUCGGGAAACCGGAGCUAAUACCGGAUAAUAUAUUGAACCGCAUGGUUCAAUAGUGAAAGACGGUUUUGCUGUCACUUAUAGAUGGAUCCGCGCCGCAUUAGCUAGUUGGUAAGGUAACGGCUUACCAAGGCGACGAUGCGUAGCCGACCGGAGAGGGUGAUCGGCCACACUGGAACUGAGACACGGUCCAGACUACUACGGGAGGCAGCAGUAGGGAAUCUGCCGCAAUGGGCGAAAGCCUGACGGAGCAACGCCGCGUGAGUGAUGAAGGUCUUCGGAUCGUAAAACUCUGUUAUUAGGGAAGAACAAAUGUGUAAGUAACUAUGCACGUAUUGACGGUACCUAAUCAGAAAGCCACGGCUAACUACGUG